rfam:Trichinella sp. T6 scaffold353s, whole genome shotgun sequence.
CGACCUCAGAUCAGACGAGAUCACCCGCUAAAUUUAAGCAUAUCAAUAAGCGGUGGAAAAGAAACGAAAACGAAUUCUCCGAGUAGCGGCGAGCGAAACGAGAGUAGUCCAUACACCGAAGUCGGCGAGCAGUUGUGUUCGUCAACAGUGUGGUGUUAAAGGUGUCGUUGCAUGUGCUGAAAUCAGUUCGUAGGCUCCCUUGAUUGGGGCUUCAGAGCGGGUGCAGGACCCAUAACGAACGAUAUUUUGUGCAUGGUGUCGCGGCUCCUAAUCGAGUCGGGUUGCUUGAGACUGCAGCCCAAAGCGGGUGGUAAAUCUCACCCAAGACUAAAUAUUCGUACGAGACCGAUAGCGAACAAGUACCGCGAGGGAAAGUUGAAAAGAACUCUGAAGAGAGAGUUCAACAGGACGUGAAACCGUUGACAGGCAAACGGAUGGAGCUGACGGUGCAAUUUUGACCAAAAUCAGUCGUCGCUGUGUUCGUUGGCGAAUGAAUCUUUUUUGCAAACUUGUUUGUGCAGGUUAUCUUUCGUUUCGAAUGUACGCACGGUGCACUUUUGGUCGAUCAGCGUCACGAGCAACGUUCGCAUUUUUUGCUGCCGACAGUAAUUGUGUUUGUUGUUUUAAAAGCAACAAACAAUAAAGGCGGUUUGUGGAAGAGGUAAUUGUGGUAAAGACUUGUGCUUGUCUUAAUUGCCGUGCCAAUGCCGCAUCUCUCGGAUGAAUGUUGUUGUUGACAAGAUGAAGAGCAUUGUUCUGCGUACAAUUGUAAUGGGUCUGUUGGUGCCGUUGCGUUCGUGGGUUUCGGCUCACGAUUUGUCUGGUACGUCAGGAAAAAAGUCAAUUAUGAAUGUAAUUGAUCUGACUACCGUGCGUAGCGGUAUUCAAAUGUGUGUUUGAUGGACUUUAUUUGCAAUCGGCGCUCAAUGUGUUUUCUUUUAUCGGUGGCGUCAAUGUUAGCCUCCCAUCCGACCCGUCUUGAAACACGGACCAAGGAGUUCAGUAGGCACGCGAGUCGUUGACGUUUUCCAUUGAACAGUCGAAGGCGAAAUGAAAGUGUUCAUGAAAAUGAACAGUACUUUUUUAUGGAGUGCUGUUCGCUUUCAACAUGAUCGUCCUUGUUUGUGCUUAAUUGUGCAAAAUUGAUGUAUGGGGACGCGCAGUGUGGUGCCGUUGAAUAGUCGCACUGUUCUUUCUUUCUCUUCGGGGUUGGAGGAACAAUUGUCGAUCAGUCGGUUUCGGAGCGUGCACACUGGUACCCGAAAGAUGGUGAACUAUGCUUGAGCAGAAUGAAGCCAGAGGAAACUCUGGUGGAAGUUCGUAGCGGUGUUGACGUGCAAAUCACUCGUCUGACUUGAGUGUAGGGGCGAAAGACUAAUCGAACCAUCUAGUUGCUGGUUCCUUCCGAAGUUUCCCUCAGGAUAGCUGGCAUUUGUUUGUAACAAUUUUAUCCGGUAGAGCGAAUGAUUAGAGGUGUUGGGAACGCAAUGUUCUCAGCCUAUUCUCAAACUUCGAAUGGGUAAGCAAGGCGUUUUGCUUUGAUUUUACGAUGAAAUCGCCCAAUUAGAAUGUAUAAAUGCCUAGUGGGCCAAUUUUGGUAAGCAGAACUGGCGAUGUGGAAUGAACCAAAAGUCAGGUUAAGGUGCCAGACAUUGGCGCUCAUGAAAUACCAGAAAAGGUGUUGGUCGAUAUAGACAGCAGGACGGUGGCCAUGGAAGUUGGAAUCCGCCAAGGAGUGUGUAACAACUCACCUGCCGAAUCGACUAGCCCUGAAAAUGGAUAGCGUUUGAGCGCCAGGCCCAUACCUGACCGUCUCAAUUACGCACUUUUUUUUCGGAAAAGGUGUAAUGAACGUUGAGACGGGUAGGAAGGUCGCGACAGUGUUGCUUUGAAGAGUUUUGAGCGUGAGCUCGCUCGGAGCCGCUGUUGGUGCAGAUCUUGGUGGUAGUAGCAAAUAUUCAAGUGAGAACCUUGAAGGCUGAAGUGGAGCAAGGUUCCAUGUGAACAGCAGUUGGACAUGGGUCAGUCGAUCCUAAGAAAACGGCGAAAGCUUGUUCGAAUUUGCGACAUGAAUUGUAAGACUGUGUGAAUUGUGUGUGUGUGCAGUUGUCGUAUGUUUUCGAAAGGGAAUCCGGUUGAUAUUCCGGAACCGAGUAACGGAGACAAAGAGUAGCGCUUUAAUCUCUCUGUGGGGUUGGCGUUCAACUCAAUCGCGCGGUAACGCAAGCGAACUCGGAAAAUGACCGUCGUGAGUUUCGAAAAGAGUUUUCUUUUCUUUUUAAGGGACGCAUUCCCUGGAACCGGGUUGUCCGGAGAUAGGGAUUCUGGUAUCCAUAAAACGCCGACUUUUUCACGGUGUUCGGAGCGCUCUCGUCGGUACGUGAAAAUCCGAGCGACGCCUGGUAAAUCUCGUACUUGGUCGUACUGAUAUCCGCAGCAGGUCUCCAAGGUGAAUAGCCUCUGGCCGAUAGAAUAAUGUAGGUAAGGGAAGUCGGCAAAACGGAUCCGUAACUUCGGAACAAGGAUUGGCUCUAAGGGCUGGGCCGAUCGGGCUGAGGUUUCAAGCGUGCAGUGUAUGCUUGGCUGAGUUGUGUUGAGGACUUGUUCACUUGCCGCCGUUUGUUCGGUUGGUCUAGUGUAUUCGAGUCUGAAGCAGAGCUGGCCGACAGACCGGCACGUGCAGAACCUGAGCUGUGUGACAGUACUGUUCCGUGUAGUAACCAGUGUACUGCAGACGAAUAGUUCACAGU